rnacentral:sRNA from 1 species
AACGAGGUACAGUUCUGUUUAUGUGUGGCAUUUUCAGUAAAGAAGUCCUGAGUAAACACGUUGACGUUGAAUACCGCUUCUCUGCCGAACCUUAUAUUAAGUGCCUCAAGCAGUAAUGUCUCAGUUUUAUCUAUGUUAUGCCUACGGGCAAAGAAAACACUCUAAGGAAUUUUGCAAAUGGCAAAGAUUAAAGGUCAAGUUAAGUGGUUCAACGAAUCCAAAGGUUUUGGCUUCAUUACUCCGGCUGACGGCAGCAAAGAUGUGUUCGUACACUUCUCCGCUAUCCAGGGCCAAUGGUUUCAAAACUCUGGCUGAAGGCCAGAACGUUGAGUUCGAAAUUCAGGACGGCCAGAAAGGUCCGGCUGCUGUUAACGUAACAGCUAUCUGAUCGACACCACUGAUUUGAUGCGUUUGUCGCGUCAGCCUCAGAUAUAAAGCCUCGCUAAAAGCGGGGCUUUUUAA